GAUGAACGCUGGCGGCGUGCCUAAUACAUGCAAGUCGAGCGAACAGACGAGGAGCUUGCUCCUCUGACGUUAGCGGCGGACGGGUGAGUAACACGUGGAUAACCUACCUAUAAGACUGGGAUAACUUCGGGAAACCGGAGCUAAUACCGGAUAAUAUAUUGAACCGCAUGGUUCAAUAGUGAAAGACGGUUUUGCUGUCACUUAUAGAUGGAUCCGCGCCGCAUUAGCUAGUUGGUAAGGUAACGGCUUACCAAGGCAACGAUGCGUAGCCGACCUGAGAGGGUGAUCGGCCACACUGGAACUGAGACACGGUCCAGACUCCUACGGGAGGCAGCAGUAGGGAAUCUUCCGCAAUGGGCGAAAGCCUGACGCAGCAAUGCCGCGUGAGUGAUGAAGGUCUUCGGAUCGUAAAACUCUGUUAUUAGGGAAGAACAAAUGUGUAAGUAACUAUGCACGUCUUGACGGUACCUAAUCAGAAAGCCACGGCUAACUACGUG
rnacentral:rRNA from 1 species